UACAGAGGGUGCAAGCGUUAAUCGGAAUUACUGGGCGUAAAGCGUGCGUAGACGGUUAUGUAAGUCAGAUGUGAAAGCCCCGGGCUCAACCUGGGAAUUGCAUUUGAGACUGCAUAGCUAGGGUGCGGAAGAGGGAAGCGGAAUUUCCGGUGUAGCGGUGAAAUGCGUAGAUAUCGGAAGGAACACCAGUGGCGAAGGCGAGUCCCUGGACAAAACCUGACACUGAGGCACGAAAGCUAGGGGAGCAAACAGG
rnacentral:rRNA from 1 species